rnacentral:antisense_RNA from 1 species
GGGUGCUCUUGGCUGUUUGUCAUGAGCAAUCAUUUAACCAUUUUUGUUUGUGGCAGAUAGACAAAAGCCCCGUUAGUUAAUAAUAACCAACGAGGCCUCAAUCAUGUAUCGACAACUUGAUUAUAGCCUCUUCAACGAAGGAGGCAAGCAAAAUGCCAAGAGG